rnacentral:rRNA from 1 species
AACGAACGCUGGCGGCAGGCCUAACACAUGCAAGUCGAACGCCCUAGCAAUAGGGAGUGGCAGACGGGUGAGUAACACGUGGGAACCUUCCCUGUAGUACGGAAUAGCCCAGGGAAACUUGGAGUAAUACCGUAUACGCCCGAGAGGGGAAAGAUUUAUCGCUACAGGAUGGGCCCGCGUCGGAUUAGCGAGUUGGUGAGGUAAUGGCUCACCAAGGCGACGAUCCGUAGCUGGUUUGAGAGAACGACCAGCCACACUGGGACUGAGACACGGCCCAGACUCCUACGGGAGGCAGCAGUGGGGAAUAUUGGACAAUGGGCGCAAGCCUGAUCCAGCCAUGCCGCGUGAGUGAUGAAGGCCUUAGGGUUGUAAAGCUCUUUUGUCGGGGACGAUAAUGACGGUACCCGAAGAAUAAGUCCCGGCUAACUUCGUGCCAGCCGCCGCCGUAAAAC